rnacentral:rRNA from 1 species
AUUGAACGCUGGCGGCAGGCUUAACACAUGCAAGUCGAACGAGUGGCGGACGGGUGAGUAAUGCUGGGGAAUCUAGCUUAUGGAGGGGGAUAACUACGGGAAACUGUAGCUAAUACCGCUUACCAUAGGAUGAGCCCAAGUGGGAUUAGGUAGUUGGUUAGGUACAGGCUCACCAAGCCGACGAUCUCUAGCUGGUCUGAUAGGAUGAACAGAAACAGUGGUACUGAGCCACGGCCCAGAUGCCUACGGGAGGCAGCAGUGGGGAAUAUUGCGCAAUGGGGGCAACCUGACGCAGCCAGGCCGCGUGCAUGAAGAGGGCCUGCGGGUUGUAAGGUUCUUUCGGUAGCGAGGCGUUAACUACAGAAGAAGCACCGGCUAACUCCGUGCCAGCAGCCGCGGUAAUAC